rnacentral:sRNA from 1 species
AGUCAAUUAAACAGUUCCUUGGUGUCUU